CCCGGGAGGGGAGUGAAAUAGAACCUGAAACCCUGCACUUACAAGCUGUGGAAGCACAUUUCUUGUGUGACCGCGUACUUUUUGUAGAACGGGCCAACGAGUUACGUUAAGUAGCAAGGUUAAGCACUUAAGGUGCGGAGCCGUAGCGAAAGCGAGUUUUAACUGAGCGUUCAGUUAUUUGACGUAGACCCGAAACCGGGCGACCUACCCAUGAGCAGGAUGAAGCGAAAGUAAAAUUUCGUGGAGGUCCGAACCCACGAGCGUUGAAAAGCUCGGGGAUG
rnacentral:rRNA from 1 species